rnacentral:rRNA from 1 species
CGAAGGUGGCAAGCGUUACUCGGAAUUACUAGGCGUAAAGGGCAGGUAGGCGGUUCGGUUAGUCUGUUGUGAAAGCUCCUUGCUUAACGGGGAGAGGCCAACAGAUACUGCCGGACUUGAGUAUAGGAGAGGGUACUGGAAUUCCCGGUGUAGCGGUGAAAUGCGCAGAGAUCGGGAGGAACACCAAUGGCGAAAGCAGGUACCUGGACUAUUACUGACGCUCAGCUGCGAAAGCUAGGGGAGCAAACAGGAUUAGAUACCCUGGUAGUCCUAGCCGUAAACGAUGCACAUUAGGCGUGAGGGGUAUCGACCCCCUUCGUGCCGAAGCAAACGCAUUAAAUGUGCCGCCUGGGGAGUACGGCCGCAAGGUUG